rnacentral:rRNA from 1 species
AGUGAACGCUGGCGGUAGGCCUAACACAUGCAAGUCGAACGGCAGCACAGUAAGAGCUUGCUCUUACGGGUGGCGAGUGGCGGACGGGUGAGGAAUACAUCGGAAUCUACUUUUUCGUGGGGGAUAACGUAGGGAAACUUACGCUAAUACCGCAUACGACCUACGGGUGAAAGCAGGGGAUCUUCGGACCUUGCGCGAUUGAAUGAGCCGAUGUCGGAUUAGCUAGUUGGCGGGGUAAAGGCCCACCAAGGCGACGAUCCGUAGCUGGUCUGAGAGGAUGAUCAGCCACACUGGAACUGAGACACGGUCUAGACUCCUACGGGAGGCAGCAGUGGGGAAUAUUGGACAAUGGGCGCAAGCCUGAUCCAGCCAUACCGCGUGGGUGAAGAAGGCCUUCGGGUUGUAAAGCCCUCUUGUUGGGAAAGAAAAGCAGCAGGUUAAUACCCCGCUGUUCUGACGGUACCCAAAGAAUAAGCACCGGCUAACUUCGUG